GCCGCAGUGGCGGAAUUGGCAGACGCGCUACGUUCAGGGCGUAGUGGGCACUAGCCCAUGGGGGUUCAAGUCCCUCCUGCGGCA
rnacentral:tRNA from 1 species